GAUGAACGCUGGCGGCGUGCCUAAUACAUGCAAGUCGAGCGAACAGACGAGGAGCUUGCUCCUCUGACGUUAGCGGCGGACGGGUGAGUAACACGUGGAUAACCUACCUAUAAGACUGGGAUAACUUCGGGAAACCGGAGCUAAUACCGGAUAAUAUCUUGAACCGCAUGGUUCAAUAGUGAAAGACGGUUUUGCUGUCACUUAUAGAUGGAUCCGCGCCGCAUUAGCUAGUUGGUAAGGUAACGGCUUACCAAGGCAACGAUGCGUAGCCGACCUGCGAGGGUGAUCGGCCACACUGGAACUGAGACACGGUCCAGACUCCUACGGGGGGCAGCAGUAGGGAAUCUUCCGCAAUGGGCGAAAGCCUGACGGAGCAACGCCGCGUGAGUGAUGAAGGUCUUCGGAUCGUAAAACUCUGUUAUUAGGGAAGAACAAAUGUGUAAGUAACUAUGCACGUCUUGACGGUACCUAAUCAGAAAGCCACGGCUAACUACGUG
rnacentral:rRNA from 1 species